rnacentral:misc_RNA from 1 species
UUAACUAUUAUAUAGUACUCAGACGUCAAAGACAGUAGAGUUUCUGGCCUCUGGCGGGCGCUGUCAGCCGGGGCCGACGCCAGAAGAGGCGACCCGCCAAAGCAACAAAGUUUUAUAUUCAAGGGUUUUCAGACAGCCCCACCAGUUUGUGGCAUUUCUGCGGCAAAAAGGCGAGACCCGACGUGGAUAUGCCCUUACGGGUACCACAUAGUUUAAUGAUCCUUCCGCAGGUUCACCUACGGAAA